rnacentral:rRNA from 1 species
AUUGAACGCUGGCGGCAGGCCUAACACAUGCAAGUCGAGCGGAUGAAGGGAGCUUGCUCCUGGAUUCAGCGGCGGACGGGUGAGUAAUGCCUAGGAAUCUGCCUGGUAGUGGGGGAUAACGUCCGGAAACGGGCGCUAAUACCGCAUACGUCCUGAGGGAGAAAGUGGGGGAUCUUCGGACCUCACGCUAUCAGAUGAGCCUAGGUCGGAUUAGCUAGUUGGUAGGGUAAAGGCCUACCAAGGCGACGAUCUGUAACUGGUCUGAGAGGAUGAUCAGUCACACUGGAACUGAGACACGGUCCAGACUCCUACGGGAGGCAGCAGUGGGGAAUAUUGGACAAUGGGCGAAAGCCUGAUCCAGCCAUGCCGCGUGUGUGAAGAAGGUCUUCGGAUUGUAAAGCACUUUAAGUUGGGAGGAAGGGCAGUAAGUUAAUACCUUGCUGUUUUGACGUUACCAACAGAAUAAGCACCGGCUAACUUCGUG